rnacentral:rRNA from 1 species
UACGGGGGGGGGCAAGCGUUUGUUCGGAAUUACUGGGCGUAAAGGGCUCGUAGGUGGCCAACUAAGUCACACGUGAAAUCCCUCAGCUUAACUGGGGAACUGCGUCUGAUACUGGAUGGCUUGGAUUCGGGAGAGGAAUGCGGAAUUCCAGGUGUAGCGGUGAAAUGCGCAGAUAUCAGGAAGAACACCGGUGGCGAAGGCGGCUCUCUGGGCCUUACCUGACGCUGAGGAGCGAAAGCGUGGGGAGCAAACAGG